CAAGCUAAACAGUCCCAGCUCUCAGGCUCUGAAGAGGUGCUCUGCUCCAAAAUUUUGGUCAUCGUGGUAGACCAAUGCUGGACUCUCUCCAGGAACGAGAAAGUUGAUUCAUGAGAAAAUGCCAAGAAGAAACAAUUUCCAGAGAUUCUGAAGAGCUGAAGGUGGAGGCCGGUAACGAGCGGAGUCCCCCGGGGGUCUGUCUUGGGACCAGUGCUCUUCAACAUCUUUAUCAAUGACAUCGACGAUGGAAUCAAGUGCACCCUCAGCAAAUUUGCUGACGACACCAAUCUGAGUGGUGCGGUUGACACGGAGGAAGGAAGGGAUGCCUUUCAGAGGGACCUUGACAGACUUGAAAGGUUUUCCAGCAUCCCCUUCCUUCCAUCCAGAAGAUUCCCUGUAGGCUGCAUGAAGACCUUUUCUUUGCAGCUUCUUAAGUUCAGCCCAGGUAAAGAUAUACCAGGAAACCUUUU
ensembl:lncRNA